UCUCCUCAACACCCUUUGUCCAACCACCAUCAGUCUUAAAAAAACCCAUGCGAUGCAGUGUAUGGCGGUUGAUGGUGUCAGAAUGAGAUAAUCUGGCAACUGCCUCUCCCUCAAAACUGACUCUGAACCUUCUAAAAAUCAGGGUGAGUGCCAUACCAAAAGACAAGUGAGCCUUAGACCUAUUCAGGGUCUCCCUCAUGACCUCAAACAUCAAUGCAGAAAGGUUCAAGGGAGUCUGUGUGAUCACAUGGUACAUAAUGCAAAUAUUCC
rnacentral:lncRNA from 1 species